GCGGAAAUAGCUCAGUGGUAGAGCGCCACCUUGCCAAGGUGGAUGUCGCGGGUCCGACUCCCGUUUUCCGCUCUA
rnacentral:tRNA from 2 species